AAAAGAUGCACGAGGAAAAGCUACCACGAGUGGCAACUCCCAGCCAAAGACUGUUAGUUGGGAAUGGAAAAUUGGAAACUUUUACGAUGAACUUCAAGAAGAAGAUAAGCAUUAUGUCGCCACACCUAGCUAGCUAGUCAGUUCACAAACAUAAUCAGCUGGAAAAUUUUAAUCCACAAAACUACUAUACCAAUUAAAGUCAGUAGUGGUGGUGGAUGAGCGUAAUUUACAGAAGCUAGCAGAGAAUUAAAGACGAGAAUAGAAUGCAAGAGAGAAGAAAAUUAGGCAGGGAUGAGCUUGGGAGCAGAGAUAGUAAUGGCGGUGGUGGGGUUGUGGGCACUUAGUUUAAGAGGAAUGCUGAUGAGAUACGCAGGGGAGAUGGCGGAAAAGAUGGUCCACGCAAUUCAACGGAUUAUGAUCAGAUGCAGUACUAGGCCUUCCUAAUUUGCUUUCUCAUCUGCCUAAUCUUCCUUGCAUGCUCAACUACUACAUAAUUUCUUCGCCGGGAGGCCAUGGCGAAGCUUUCAAGGAGUUCGAGGAAUGAUCGCUGUAAUGCUAGCUGGUAUUUCUGAGGAUUGAGGGAAGCUAGCUACAGAUCUGCUCAUGAUCGGCAUAGUUUUGGACCUACCUAAUACGCGUAUUCGUCAUUGUCGAAAAAAGAUCAACACCACAUGCGACGUUAUAAACGACGUUAAUGGUCUUGUCGUUGGAGCUCAAUUUAAAGUUGAGAACAAUAGAUACAUACAGUACAUUUUACAAUAUUUAUUGUAUCUGAUUAAGUUUCUUAGACAAUAUUAACUAUAUUUUAAUAAAGAGUAAUGCUACUUAUCAUUCAAAUUUCUAUCA